CCUAAGGUAGCGAAAUUCCUUGUCGGGUAAGUUCCGACCCGCACGAAAGGCGUAAUGAUUUGGGCACUGUCUCAACAACACACCCGGUGAAAUUGAAAUACCAGUGAAGAUGCUGGUUACCUGCGCCAGGACGGAAAGACCCCAUGGAGCUUUACUCCAGCUUGAUACUGGGAUUCGGUACUGCAUGUACAGGAUAGGUGGGAGACUGAGAAUUAAGGACGCCAGUCCUUAAGGAGUCACUGUUGGGAUACCACCCUUGCAGUAUUGGAUUUCUAACCAACAGCCAUGAUCUGGUUGGGGGACAAUGUCAGGUGGGGAGUUUGACUGGGGCGGUCGCCUCCGAAAGGGUAUCGGAGGCGCUCAAAGGUCUUCUCAGAAUGGACGGAAACCAUUCGCAGAGUGCAAAGGCAGAAGAAGGCUUGACUGUGACACCGACGGGUGGAGCAGGUACGAAAGUAGGACUUAGUGAUCCGGUGGUAUAACGUGGGAUUGCCAUCGCUCAACGGAUAAAAGCUACCCUGGGGAUAACAGGCUUAUCACUCCCAAGAGUUCACAUCGACGGAGUGGUUUGGCACCUCGAUGUCGGCUCAUCGCAUCCUGGAGCUGUAGCAGGUUCCAAGGGUUGGGCUGUUCGCCCAUUAAAGCGGUACGCGAGCUGGGUUCAGAACGUCGUGAGACAGUUCGGUCCCUAUCCGGCGCAGGCGGAGGAAAUUUGAUAGGAGCUGUCCUUAGUACGAGAGGACCGGGAUGGACGGACCACUGGUGGAUCUGUUGUAUUACCAAAUGCAUAGCAGAGUAGCCAAGUCUGGAAGGGAUAAACGCUGAAGGCAUCUAAGCGUGAAGCCCCCCUAAAGAUAAGAUUUCCCAUAGAGUAAUCUAGUAAGACCCCUUGAAGACGACGAGGUAGAUAGGGCAGAGGUGGAAGUACGGCAACGUAUGUAGCUGACUGUUACUAAUCGGUCGAGGCUUUAACCAA
rnacentral:rRNA from 1 species